rnacentral:rRNA from 1 species
ACGGGAGGCAGCAGUGGGGAAUAUUGGGCAAUGGGCGAAAGCCUGACCCAGCGACGCCGCGUGAGGGAAGAAGAUCUUCGGAUUGUAAACCUUAGUCAACAGGGAAGAAGCAAGUGACGGUACCUGUGGAGGAAGCCACGGCUAACUACGUGCCAGCAGCCGCGGUAAUACGUAGGUGGCGAGCGUUAUCCGGAUUUACUGGGUGUAAAGGGUGUGUAGGCGGGACUGUAAGUCAGAUGUGAAAACUGCCGGCUCAACUGGCAGCCUGCAUUUGAAACUGCGGUUCUUGAGUGUGGGAGAGGUAAGCGGAAUUCCCGGUGUAGCGGUGAAAUGCGUAGAUAUUAGGAAGAACACCAGUGGCGAAGGCGGUUAGCUGGACAAUAACUGACGCUGAGGCGCGAAAGCGUGGGUAGCAAACAGGAUUAGAUACCCUGGUA